UACGUAGGGUGCGAGCGUUAAUCGGAAUUACUGGGCGUAAAGCGUGCGCAGGCGGUUGUGUAAGACAGGUGUGAAAUCCCCGGGCUCAACUUGGGAACUGCAUUUGUGACUGCAUCGCUGGAGUGCGGCAGAGGGGAUGGAAUUCCGCGUGUAGCAGUGAAAUGCGUAGAUAUGCGGAGGAACACCGAUGGCGAAGGCAAUCCCCUGGGCCUGCACUGACGCUCAUGCACGAAAGCGUGGGGAGCAAACAGG
rnacentral:rRNA from 1 species